UGAUGGAAAGGUACUUGUAUUAAUCUAAAUGAGUCUUUGGUCUUCUAGCCUAUAAAUACAGCCUAUGACUCUCCAUUAGUAAUAGGCAUCGAGAUCCUCAGGCAUAAAUUGGAAGAACUCUUUUGUAGCAUUGUUUUGCAGGAUAAAAGUGAGACAGAUCCAUCUGACAGAUUCAUCCUCCGGUAUUCUCACAAUGUUCUUCAUCUUUGAUUCGUUUUGGAGCUUAAAUAACAAUGGCUAGAGAUAUAUUAUUUCUGCAUCA
rnacentral:lncRNA from 1 species